rnacentral:rRNA from 1 species
GACGAACGCUGGCGGCGUGCCUAAUACAUGCAAGUUGAGCGCUGAAGGUUGGUACUUGUACCAACUGGAUGAGCAGCGAACGGGUGAGUAACGCGUGGGGAAUCUGCCUUUGAGCGGGGGACAACAUUUGGAAACGAAUGCUAAUACCGCAUAAAAACUUUAAACACAAGUUUUAAGUUUGAAAGAUGCAAUUGCAUCACUCAACGAUUAUCCCGCGUUGUAUUAGCUAGUUGGUGAGGUAAAGGCUCACCAAGGCGAUGAUACAUAGCCGACCUGAGAGGGUGAUCGGCCACAUUGGGACUGAGACACGGCCCAAACUCCUACGGGAGGCAGCAGUAGGGAAGCUUCGGCAAUGGACGAAAGUCUGACCGAGCAACGCCGCGUGAGGGAAGAAGGUUUUCGGAUCGUAAAACUCGGUUGGUAGAGAAGAACGUUGGGGAGAGUGGAAAGCUCAUCAAGUGACGGUAACUACCCAGAAAGGGACGGCUAACUACGUG